rnacentral:rRNA from 1 species
UGGGGAAUAUUGGACAAUGGGCGAAAGCCUGAUCCAGCAAUGCCGCGUGCAGGAUGAAGGCCUUCGGGUUGUAAACUGCUUUUGUACGGAACGAAAAAGCUCCUUCUAAUACAGGGGGCCCAUGACGGUACCGUAAGAAUAAGCACCGGCUAACUACGUGCCAGCAGCCGCGGUAAUACGUAGGGUGCGAGCGUUAAUCGGAAUUACUGGGCGUAAAGCGUGCGCAGGCGGUUAUGUAAGACAGAUGUGAAAUCCCCGGGCUCAACCUGGGAACUGCAUUUGUGACUGCAUGGCUAGAGUACGGUAGAGGGGGAUGGAAUUCCGCGUGUAGCAGUGAAAUGCGUAGAUAUGCGGAGGAACACCGAUGGCGAAGGCAAUCCCCUGGACCUGUACUGACGCUCAUGCACGAAAGCGUGGGGAGCAAACAGGAUUAGAUACCCUGGUAGUCCACGCCCUAAACGAUGUCAACUGGUUGUUGGGAAUUAGUUUUCUCAGUAACGAAGCUAACGCGUGAAGUUGACCGCCUGGGGAGUACGGCCGCAAGGUUA